UCUCCUCUUUUACAUCUGAGUUUGACUGGAGUUGACAGAUGCUACAAAACCUGAUAUGAACACUGGAGGCUGAAUUGUUGGACCUCGUGGAUUACUGAGGACUCGUGGAGAGUUACAUUAAGUUCCUGGACAAGAGGACAAGUGGACAGAUGUCUUUCAGCCGGCCGAGGUCUCUGAGGAGGAGGACGUGAGGAGGUUUCUGCUGAGCUGCAGGUGUGUCAGACAACAACAACGGAGUCACAGACAUGAAUGUAAGAGAGAACCUGGAUCUGAGGCAGGAUGGAGAGGACGGAGGCGCCGACGCAGAGCAGCAUGUUGAUGCUGAUGAAGACCUUGUUUUCGGUGCAACCGUCGGAGUGGGUGUAGUAGACGUAGAACAU